CUUGGUGAAUGGCUCUCCGGUAGCCGUACAAGAGGUUAGGAGGAAGCAGCUUCACCGUGUUCCAGACAGGAUUUUAAGAGUAGUCUGAGUCCUCGAAGGCGGCAGCAUGGAUGAAAGAUGGGCGAGGAAGAAAGAGGAUGCGGCGCUCACAAGACUGGAUGACGGCCACCCUCGUUCUAAUGGCAUCGUCGCCGACUUGACAUCUCGUCUCGAUCCAGAAGGCUUCAAAGGAUUUCUUCGCUUUCUAGUUUUAUGUUUUCCAAUUUAAGAGAGGAAACCACUGUUAUAUAUGCAGUGCCUGACCAGUGCAACGCUUUCUUCAUGUAAUGAACUUCAUAAUUCAACAGCAACGAACAACUUCAUUUCAUUUUCAUCUGGUUGACAUAUACUUCAUCCAA